rnacentral:rRNA from 1 species
GAUGAACGCUGGCGGCGUGCCUAAUACAUGCAAGUCGAGCGAACGGACGAGGAGCUUGCUCCUCUGACGUUAGCGGCGGACGGGUGAGUAACACGUGGAUAACCUACCUAUAAGACUGGGAUAACUUCGGGAAACCGGAGCUAAUACCGGAUAAUAUAUUGAACCGCAUGGUUCAAUAGUGAAAGACGGUUUUGCUGUCACUUAUAGAUGGAUCCGCGCUGCAUUAGCUAGUUGGUAAGGUAACGGCUUACCAAGGCAACGAUGCGUAGCCGACCUGAGAGGGUGAUCGGCCACACUGGAACUGAGACACGGUCCAGACUCCUACGGGAGGCAGCAGUAGGGAAUCUUCCGCAAUGGGCGAAAGCCUGACGGAGCAACGCCGCGUGAGUGAUGAAGGUCUUCGGAUCGUAAAACUCUGUUAUUAGGGAAGAACAAAUGUGUAAGUAACUAUGCACGUCUUGACGGUACCUAAUCAGAAAGCCACGGCUAACUACGUG